UACGUAGGGUGCAAGCGUUGUCCGGAAUUAUUGGGCGUAAAGAGCUCGUAGGCGGUCUGUCGCGUCGAAUGUGAAACCCCGAGGCUCAACCUCGGGUCUGCAUUCGAUACGGGCAGACUAGAGUUCGGUAGGGGAGACUGGAAUUCCUGGUGUAGCGGUGAAAUGCGCAGAUAUCAGGAGGAACACCGGUGGCGAAGGCGGGUCUCUGGGCCGAUACUGACGCUGAGGAGCGAAAGCGUGGGGAGCGAACAGG
rnacentral:rRNA from 1 species